AGUGCCUGGUGCUGACGUAGCCCACGGCCCUCACUAAGCAAAGCGGACACCUCGCCCUAGGCUGGGGGACGGCCCCGCCUCGCCCGCUGCCUCGACCCGGCGCCCCGACCUGUCCCGCUCUCACGGGCGCCGGAAAGAGACUGGAAACAAGCGCAGAGCGUUCAGCCCGAGGCCGGAAGCAGAAGCGCGGGGCCGCGCCGUGGAAGGAGCGGCGGUGCUGGCGGUGGCGCUGCGCAGGGAGCGGUGGCGCUGCGCGGGUGUGCUGUGUCCUCCGUGCCGGACGGGGUCCGCGUGGUGCGGUCUGCCUUAGCGUGGGGGGCAGCCCUAGGCGAGCGGCGGACGGUCUGGCGCUCCGGUCCGAGUCCGGGGAGAGGCCUGGGCUGCCAGUGACUCCGCGCUCGGGGCCCGGCGUCCCUCAGUCCCUCCCGGGAGCCCCGUUUCCUCCUCUGGGCUGUUCGUUCAGGUGUGCCGGAAGCUGCUGUUUCCUCCCAGUUCUGGGCGCCGCCAUCCACUCCUCAUAGAGUGCGCUGGUCACCUUCCCCUGUGUGGUUUUUGCCCCCACGGGAUUUUUAACCACGUCUGAAGGCAUUGUUUUGCUUGUUACAGAUGGUGGCGCGGAUGCUACUAGCAUCUAGUGUGUGGAGGCCAGGAAUGCUGCUCAACAUCCUACAAUGCACAGGCAGCGCCCAAGACAAAGAAUUAUCCAACCCCAAAUGUCAGUGAUGGGGAGUUUGGGAAACAGAGCUCUAGGGCCUGAAAAUCUCGGGAGCCCUGAAUGAACUGUAGAAAUUGUUUAGAAGUCAACUGAGUCUCUUAUAGGGCCCAUAAGUGACAAGCAGUGUUCAAAGUGUGUAGUCACCAAAAAGUCUCCAUCCAGCCAGAUGAGUUGAGCAAGUCAAGUGCACACAGCUUGAAGCUGCUUUCUCACAUCUUGGAGAGCAGAUGGCUUUAUAGGAUUCUGGAAAAUCCAGUCACAGCCAAGUAUUAUGUUAAAUCAGCAAAUACAGAAAAGACAAGAAUAGGAUGGGCUUUCCAUCUAACACCUGUAUUACGCCCUGUAUAAGGCCUCAAAAACAAUAUUUGUGGCUUUUUUCUUCAAACAGGAAAAGCAUCUCUGGAGCUCAAGUUUGAGUUGAACUCAGCCUCAAGGGUCACCUGUCCUCACUGAUCUGUGGAUUUCUGCGUGACCGGAACCCUGUCCUGAGUGCGCUGUGGGGAGAAGGGGAGGAGCGUUGUGGUCCUCUGCUGCCCUCUUGUUCAGGAAGAUUUGCUGCUGAGGCUCAGGAUGGUAGCCAUGGUUCUGUCCCCCAGUUUUGCUCAAUCUUCCCUGUUGCCAGCCUCUCCUCAAAAAGGAUGCCCAGAGGAGGAAGGGUUGGCUAAUGACUUCCUGAUAAGCUGGUUACUGGAGUGAACAUCAUGGAUGUAACCUCAGCCCCCUCUCCAGGUGUCGCCACCACCAUCACCACCAUGGGAACCAACUUGGUCCUGGCUACUGUGCUCAACUCAGAGGGGAGUGUGAGAACCAUGGACAGCACUCUGGCCACAGAGACCUGCAUACCUGCUCUAGAGCACCCUCCCACCUGGUCAUCCACAGCUGUUCCUGCCCAACAUCAGGCCUCACAGCUGCCAUUCUCUACAGGGGACAUAACAAGUGGAAUCAUAUCGUCUACAAAGGGACUGCUGGCAUUGUGGAGCAUCUCACAGGGAUACCCAGUGAGGCAGCAUAUGAAGUUACCGCAGCACCAGUCUGUGUCCCUCUGACAUCUACAUCAUCUGCUAGUUUUAACAGAUGAUCAACAGGAGGACAGAGGGGGUAGAAACUACUGCCACAGCUCUGAAGAUCACCUCCACAGCCACUUUAUUAGUCUCUCCACUUACUUUGGGAAUGCUGACUUUCCUCAGGAUAUGUGGUAAAAUGGCCAGCAAAAGCACAAUAGGAGUGAGCAUCCCUGAUGUUUUCCCUGAUGUUCCAGAGGUGACAGCCUCCUUGACCCUCAGACCUGGAGCAUAGACCAGCACAAGCAGUUCCAAGGACAAACCCGUCUAUUUUUAAUAGAGGAUCAGAGACAACAUUCUCACUGGUCCCUAGUUCAGGGGCAGAGACCGGUGCAGCUGUUCAAAUUCUGACUGUUUCCCUGGUGAGCCAGAGAGCACACCCUCAUGGCUCACCCAUCCUGCAGAGACCAGCCCACCUGUUUCCAGGGAAACCUUGAAUGUUCCCCAUAAUGAAUCAGACAGCACCCUCUCAACAGCUACCAGUUCUGGGGAAGGAGUCGGUUCAGCUGUUUCAACUCCAACUGUUUCCCCUAUAUAAUGCUGGAGAUGGUGACCUCGCUGGUUAUUAGUCCUGGGGCAGAGAUCAGUGUGGUUAUUCCAACUCUGGCUGAUUCUACAUAGGAACCAGAGACCAUCUGGUGAGCCAGAUACAACAGCCUCAUGGGUCACCCAUUCUGCAGAGACCAGCAGACCUAUUUCCAGAACAAUUCCUAAUUUUUCCCAUAGUGAAUCCAACACCACACCCUCAAGGGCCAUCAGUCCUGGGGCAGAAGCCAGUUCAGCCAUUCCAACAAUGACUGUCUCACCUAGUGCAUCAGAUGUGGUGACCUAACUGGACACUGGUUCUGGGGCAGAGACCACUACAACAUUUCCAACUCUAAUUCCCCACAUGAACCAGAGACCACAGCUCAUAAAUCACCCAUUCUGCGGAGACCAGACCAGGGAUAGUGACUCCACUGGUCACCAGUUCUGGGGCAGAGACCAGCACUUUUCCAACUCUGACUGAUUCCUCACAUGAACCAAAGACCACAGCCUCAUGGGUUACCCAUUCUGAGACAGAAGUCAGUUCAGCUGUUCCAACUCUGACUGUUUCCCUUGGGGAGGCAGGUAAAACAGUCUCAUUGAUCACCCAUUCUGCAGAGACCAGCCUGACUAUUCCCAAAACAAUCCCCAAUAUUUCCCAUAGUGAAUCAGACACUACACGCUCAGUGGUCACCAGCUUUGGUGCAAAAGUCAGUUCAGCUGUUCCAACUGCAACUGUCUCCUCUGGUACCAGAUACGGUGACCUCAUAGGUUACUAGUUCUGAGACAGAUGCCAGUAUGGCUGUUCCUACUCUGACUCUCUCUCCUGGUGAACCAUAGCCCACAGGCUUAUUGGUCACCCACCCCAGUGCAGAGAGAAGCACGAAUUUUCCUGCUUCAAGUGUUUUUCCUCAGUUACCAGUGACCGCAGUCUCACUAUCCAUCUGACCUAGGUUGGUGAUUGGUCUACUUCCUUCAACUCAGACCAUUUCCCUUGGUCCACCAGAAACAUCCUUCACCAACCUAUGACUAAGACCAGCAGAACUGAUCUAGGUCCAGCUGUCUCACUUGGCGUUCCUACAGAAACAGCCUCAUUCUUCACUCAUCCUGGGAUAGACAUCAGCACAAUCUUUCAACUUCAGCUGUUUCCCCUGGUUCAUCAGAGACCACAGGCUUAUUGGCUACUAACCCUGCAGCAGAGGCCUGUACAACUAUCCCAACUCUGACUGUUUCCCGGCUGUUCUUGCAACAGCUCGUGAGCCUCGUACUGUAACUUCCUGGAGCACAGAAAUCUCACCACCCACAACCUCACUUGGACUUCCAGAAUUUUCCAAGACUGUGACAGGGGACACUGUGGCCUUGAUUGCUUCAGAGACCCCAAAACCACCUAAAACCAGUCACAGGGAAGGAUCAAGUCCAACCGCUAUCCUGGAAACUACAACUUUGGAGACCACUAAUUUAGCUGCCAUACGUUCAUCCCCCAUCAUUGCUGAGACCACAACCACCUUCAAUACACUGGCUAAACGUCUCUUUGUUCCAGUGACCACACCUGGAACGUCCACCUUGGCCUUAGAGUGUGACUUCAGGAACAAGUAAAAAUAAGUUUUUUAGUAUUUUUAUUUUUUAUUAUUCUUUUAAUUUUAUUUUAUUAUUUUUAUUUGCCAUUUUAAACCAUUUUAAAUGUACAGUUCAGCGGUUGUACUUACAUUUACAUUGUUGUGCAAUCAUCAUCACUAUCUGUUUCCAAAAGUUUUCUAUCACCCCAAACAGGAUUUGUGUACC